rnacentral:rRNA from 1 species
UACGAAGGGUGCAAGCGUUACUCGGAAUUACUGGGCGUAAAGCGUGCGCAGGCGGUUGUGCAAGACCGAUGUGAAAUCCCCGGGCUUAACCUGGGAAUGGCAUUGGUGACUGCACGGCUAGAGUGUGUCAGAGGGGGGUAGAAUUCCACGUGUAGCAGUGAAAUGCGUAGAGAUGUGGAGGAAUACCGAUGGCGAAGGCAGCCCCCUGGGAUAACACUGACGCUCAUGCACGAAAGCGUGGGGAGCAAACAGG